rnacentral:rRNA from 1 species
GGGUUGUGAGGUUAAGCGACUAAGCGUACACGGUGGAUGCCCUGGCAGUCAGAGGCGAUGAAGGGCGUGCUAAUCUGCGAUAAGCGCCGGUAAGGUGAUAUGAACCGUUAUAACCGGCGAUACCCGAAUGGGGAAACCCAGUGUGAUUCGUCACACUAUCAUUAACUGAAUCCAUAGGUUAAUGAGGCGAACCGGGGGAACUGAAACAUCUAAGUACCCCGAGGAAAAGAAAUCAACCGAGAUUCCCCCAGUAGCGGCGAGCGAACGGGGAGGAGCCCAGAGCCUGAAUCAGCAUGUGUGUUAGUGGAAGCGUCUGGAAAGGCGCGCGAUACAGGGUGACAGCCCCGUACACAAAAGCGCAUGUGCUGUGAGCUCGAUGAGUAGGGCGGGACACGUGGUAUCCUGUCUGAAUAUGGGGGGACCAUCCUCCAAGGCUAAAUACUCCUGACUGACCGAUAGUGAACCAGUACCGUGAGGGAAAGGCGAAAAGAACCCCGGCGAGGGGAGUGAAAAAGAACCUGAAACCGUGUACGUACAAGCAGUGGGAGCACCCUUUGGGGUGUGACUGCGUACCUUUUGUAUAAUGGGUCAGCGACUUAUAUUCUGUAGCAAGGUUAACCGUAUAGGGGAGCCGGAGGGAAACCGAGUCUUAACCGGGCGUUAAGUUGCAGGGUAUAGACCCGAAACCCGGUGAUCUAGCCAUGGGCAGGUUGAAGGUUGGGUAACACUAACUGGAGGACCGAACCGACUAAUGUUGAAAAAUUAGCGGAUGACCUGUGGCUGGGGGUGAAAGGCCAAUCAAACCGGGAGAUAGCUGGUUCUCCCCGAAAGCUAUUUAGGUAGCGCCUCGUGAAUUCAUCUCCGGGGGUAGAGCACUGUUUCGGCUAGGGGGCCAUCCCGGCUUACCAACCCGAUGCAAACUGCGAAUACCGGAGAAUGUUAUCACGGGAGACACACGGCGGGUGCUAACGUCCGUCGUGAAGAGGGAAACAACCCAGACCGCCAGCUAAGGUCCCAAAGUCAUGGUUAAGUGGGAAACGAUGUGGGAAGGCCCAGACAGCCAGGAUGUUGGCUUAGAAGCAGCCAUCAUUUAAAGAAAGCGUAAUAGCUCACUGGUCGAGUCGGCCUGCGCGGAAGAUGUAACGGGGCUAAACCAU